GCGCCCUUCGUCUAUCGGUUAGGACAACAGAUUCUCAUUCUGUAAAGACGAGUUCGACUCUCGUAGGGCGUACCA
rnacentral:tRNA from 1 species